UACGUAGGGCGCAAGCGUUGUCCGGAAUUAUUGGGCGUAAAGAGCUCGUAGGCGGUUUGUCGCGUCGGGAGUGAAAACACCGGGCUUAACUCGGUGCUUGCUUUCGAUACGGGCAGACUAGAGGCAUGCAGGGGAGAACAGAAUUCCUGGUGUAGCGGUGAAAUGCGCAGAUAUCAGGAGGAACACCGGUGGCGAAGGCGGUUCUCUGGGCAUGUCCUGACGCUGAGGAGCGAAAGUGUGGGGAGCGAACAGG
rnacentral:rRNA from 1 species